rnacentral:rRNA from 1 species
UACGUAGGCAGCAAGCGUUGUUCGGAAUUACUGGGCGUAAAGAGUGUGUAGGCGGUGCUCCAAGUCUGGUGUGAAAUCUCCCGGCUUAACUGGGAGGGUGCGGCGGAAACUGGAAUGCUUGAGGAUGGGAGAGGAAAGCGGAAUUCCUGGUGUAGCGGUGAAAUGCGUAGAUAUCAGGAGGAACACCCGUGGUGUAGACAGCUUUCUGGACCAUUUCUGACACUGAGACACGAAAGCGUGGGUAGCAAACAGG